rnacentral:misc_RNA from 1 species
GAACUGCGAUAAGUAAUGUGAAUUGCAGAAUUCAGUGAAUCAUCGAGUCUUUGAACGCACAUUGCGCCCCCUGGCAUUCCGGGGGGCAUGCCUGUCCGAGCGUCAUUGCUGCCCUUCAAGCCCGGCUUGUGUGUUGGGUCGUCGUCCCCUCCGGGGGACGGGCCCAAAAGGCAGUGGCGGCACCAUGUCUGGUCCUCGAGCGUAUGGGGCUUUGUCACCCGCUCCCGUAGGUCCAGCUGGCAGCUAGCCUCGCAACCAAUCUUUUUAACCAGGUUGACCUCGGAUCAGGUAGGGAUACCCGCUGAACUUAAGC